GCACCUCCCACGCUCGGCCGCUAGGGUCUUCAGGCGGCGGGGAAGCCAGCCGCCGGGGCUGCGGGAACUCCCUCCAUUUCCUGUCCCUCCGAACGCGAUGAUUAUGAGUCUCAUGAGGGCAGAGACUAUGUGUUUCAGUCAUCACUGGACUCCAGCCCCUGACACGAAGAUUCUGUCAAUAAACGAUUCAUUGAAUGAAUGAAUAAUCAUAGGUUCCUGAUGAUCUGCCCUGAUGUCCCAACAUUCUUGGGGUAGGUAUGCAGAUUAGGCUCCUACUACUACAUUCAGAAAAUUUGCAUUUAUGGAAAUGCCUACUGUUAGAGCUAAGAGGGACCUUAGAAAUUACUCAUACAUUUCAAUUUCUAGUUGAAAAACUAAGCCAGAGAUAGCAAAGGACUUGGGCUUUGGGAUUCUCUGGCCUUGGUACUGAAUUUUGCCAGGUCUGAAUUUAUUGUGUGUCUUGUUGUUCCUUUAAUCCCUGCCUCCACACCAUCCCAACCCCAAAGACACUGAGCAGAGUGCAAGGACAUGAAUGGAAGGUCAGCAGAAGGGAGGGAGGGCGGGGAGUUCCUCAACAGACCCUGACUUUGCUUCCUUUGGCUUCCCCCGCACACCAGGGAAGGUACCUGGGUGUUCAGCUAGCUGCUGUACGAGAACAGCUCCUCCAUGGCACCCAGGCAGCCUCACACUAUCUACAGAGGUCCUGCAGGCAAAGGCUUGAACCAUAACUAAUCUGAGUCUUGGCAGAACGCCUGUGAUCCUCCCAGGGCACUAGAGGAUGGGAGGCCUACAAGGAGCUGCUUCAAGGCCACUGCUGCUUUUCUCCCGCUGCCUCCUUAUCCCCCCAUCCCCUGGAAGGCUGUCAAGAGUUUUUCAUCCCCUCCCACCUCCUGGGAUCUGAUGAGAUAAGAGACUUCCUGGCUCAUCCCUCUCAGAAUAGAGCUACAUACUAUAAUCGGCUUCUUGGCAAAGGGAUGUCCCACAACUACCAUUGCAGUCCUCUGAUCCCUUUUUUCCGGUGUCCUCCUUUUUGGUGUUUGGGACAGGGACCACUAGGAGCAGGAACCUUGGACUACUUUUUCUUUUGUUG